rnacentral:lncRNA from 1 species
GGCAGAGAACUGACUUGAGCGUCGGAGGGUCUUGCCGGAGCAACCCCACCUCCGGUUUAGACUUCCCUUGCAGGUCCCGGCGGCGACCGCGGCUUCCCCGACUCCAGCUUCUCCGGCGCAAGCAGAUUUUUGCACCAACAGUAUCUAUUGAAUUCAAAUAGAUCUACAAAGGAAAAAGCUAUAAAAGUAAAGACCUUUAAAGCAAGCAUCUCGGAAUAAAAAUACUCGAUAUGAUCAAAUGGUUUGAUCUCAUCAAGAAUAGAAGGAAACAUGUGUGUAUAAGAAGGAUCGGUGGGAGCGUUGUUAUAUUCCUCGUAUUGUACGUUAGAUUUCAUCCUCCUGAUUGAGAAUAUUGUUCCUAUACUAACUAUGGUUAGAAUAUGGUUGUUUCAAGAAAUUCUUUAAAAGAGAUCUUUGGAAACAUCCUAGAUAAGUCUAUGAGAUAGAUAUAAGUCUAUGAGAUAGAUCUAUUAGGAUGCUAGUUUCACAGAAGAUGUACAUAGAAUAGAUGCUGAAAGGGUUCAGCAUGAAAAAUCCUAAAAUGAUUUCUAUCCCUUGGAUAUGGGAUUAAUCUAUCCAAAAAGAUGUGGGGGACACAUAUGUAGAGAUAUAGUACAUGAGCUAGAUUUUUUAUGCUAUAACUAGUGGGAGCCUCAUGUAUACUAUGUACAUGAUCCGAUAUAUUUUUGCUGUGAGUGUCACGAGCAAAUAUCGAUUAAAUCUAGACUGAGAGUACUGGAUACCUGUGAAAAUAUUUCUAAAUACGUGAAAAGUACUUAAGAUAUGUUUAUAGUCUUUAAGGAGAAUCAAAGUUAAGGAUAAAAAGAUAUAAUAAAUCAGAUUUUAUGUCUGAUGUUGAUGGUAGAGAGUCUACAUAAAGAAAGGUGUUUCCUUAUGUAAUGUAAAUUUAGUAAAUUGGAAGAGUUUCAAACAACCGAUGAUUGUAAAUUCUAGAAGUUGUGUGUCGCUACUUAUGAAGUUGCUAGGAAAACCUUUUGGAAAAUCUUCUAGUUAAAAAGAGUUUGUUACAAAACUGGUUUGAUGUCAUCAGAUGGCAUAAUACUAUACUAUAACAACAAAGAUGUCACUGCUUUAGCUGAGAAGCAUAGGUCUCACCAAAAUUUUUAGUACAUAAGAGCAAUAAUUGAUUAUUCAUGACUAUUUCCAGAAGUAAGACUUCGAGAAUUAGAGUAGACUCCAUGAAAAUAUGGUGGACCCACAGACUAAAUCAUCUUACCAGUAGAGGAUAAAAGUAUAUCUUAAGAAGAUGGGACUUAUAUCUAUGGUAGAUUGACUUUAGUACAAGUGAAAGAUUUUAAGAUGUAUACCUUAGAAGCCAAUCGGACUGAUACAUUAAUUCUUUCUAGGAUAUAAUUUUGUACUUGAUCUAAUUAUUUAAGAUAGUUAAUUAUCAUUCAUAUAGUGUACGUGUCUAUGAAUCAUCUACAGAAUUAACAAGAUGAUGACACGUAUUCUCAAAAAUUGAAAAUUUGAGGCAUGUGUCAUUGAUGGUUAAUUUAAAAACUGCUUCCAACCGUAGGAUCAUCACGGAGAUGGUGAUUGAUCCAAAUAGGUUGAUGCAUAAAUCACUUCCUUAUGGAUCGAUGAGUCUUGAGUCUAUAAUGUGGGAACACUGAAGCGAAAGUAUAAGUAUUUAUCAGAGAACAAAAAUACCAACCAUGACUAACACGAG